AACGCGAAGAACCUUACCCAGGCUUGACAUACAGUAGACAGCUCCAGAAAUGGAGACUUCCUUCGGGACUGCUGAACAGGUGCUGCAUGGCUGUCGUCAGCUCGUGCCGUGAGGUGUUGGGUUAAGUCCCGCAACGAGCGCAACCCUUAUCGUUAGUUGCCAACAUUUUAGGUGGGAACUCUAGCGAGACUGCCCGGGUUAACCGGGAGGAAGGUGAGGAUGACGUCAAGUCCGCAUGGCCCUUAUGCCUGGGGCUACACACGUGCUACAAUGGUCGGUACAGAAGGCAGCGAAACCGCGAGGCGGAGCAAAUCCCAAAAAGCCGGCCCCAGUUCAGAUUGUAGUCUGCAACUCGACUACAUGAAGAUGGAAUUGCUAGUAAUGGCGAGUCAGCUACAUCGCCGUGAAUACGUUCUAGGGCCUUGUA
rnacentral:rRNA from 1 species